CACGCCCUAAACGAUGUCAACUGGUUGUUGGGGGAGUGAAAUCCCUUAGUAACGAAGCUAACGCGUGAAGUUGACCGCCUGGGGAGUACGGUCGCAAGAUUAAAACUCAAAGGAAUUGACGGGGACCCGCACAAGCGGUGGAUGAUGUGGAUUAAUUCGAUGCAACGCGAAAAACCUUACCUACCCUUGACAUGUCCAGAAUCCUGCAGAGAUGCGGGAGUGCCCGAAAGGGAAUUGGAACACAGGUGC
rnacentral:rRNA from 1 species